rnacentral:rRNA from 2 species
CCUACGGGAGGCAGCAGUGGGGAAUUUUGGACAAUGGGCGAAAGCCUGAUCCAGCAAUGCCGCGUGCAGGAUGAAGGCCUUCGGGUUGUAAACUGCUUUUGUACGGAACGAAAAGCUUUGGGUUAAUACCCUGGAGUCAUGACGGUACCGUAAGAAUAAGCACCGGCUAACUACGUGCCAGCAGCCGCGGUAAU